UUUUGCGCAAUGGGCGAAAGCCUGACGCAGUGACGCCGCGUGGAGGAUGAAGGCCUUCGGGUUGUAAACUCCUGUCAGGGGGAACGACGGAGAUUGGGCUUACAAAGCCUUUCCUUCAGACGGUGCCUCCAAAGGAAGCCCCGGCUAAUUCCGUGCCAGCAGCCGCGGUAAUACGGAAGGGGCGAGCGUUGUUCGGAUUUACUGGGCGUAAAGAGCGCGUAGGCGGCCGGAUAAGUCCGUUGUGAAAUCCCCCGGCUCAACCGGGGACCCGCUUCGGAAACUGUCCGGCUUGAGUCGCGGAGAGGAGAGCGGAAUUCCCAGUGUAGCGGUGAAAUGCGUAGAUAUUGGGAGGAACACCGGUGGCGAAGGCGGCUCUCUGGACGCGUUCUGACGCUGAGGCGCGAAAGCUAGGGGAGCAAAC
rnacentral:rRNA from 1 species